rfam:Lactobacillus agilis DSM 20509 NODE_211, whole genome shotgun sequence.
CGGUUGUUAGUAAUUAUCGGGAAACCGUUAGUUGCUAAGUAAUUGUACUUCAUUAACGUAGCUGUUCGCCGUGCCCACACCGAAUGGUUACGCUUUUUU